GGUUGUUGUGUAUCCAAAGGAAGGGGGUGGCAAAGGAGAAAGGGACCUGAAUAAAGAAGGGCGAGAAGCAACCGCCAGCUUGGAGCCUCGGUGUCUGAAAGGCUGCUUACACGAGGUGCGCCUCAGGGGUCGGAAGCGCAGAGGGGCGGGGCCGAAUAAUUGAAGGCUUAAGCUCAAAGGCACAACCAUGAAAGAUCCAAGUCGUAGGAGUACUAGUCCAAGCAUUAUCAGUGAAGAUAUGAUCAUGAAUGGUCACUCUCAUGAAGAUGAUAAUCCAUUUGCAGAAUAUAUGUGGAUGGAAAAUGAAGAGGAAUUCAACAGGCAGAUUGAAGAGGAAUUGUGGGAAGAAGAAUUUAUAGAACGUUGCUUCCAAGAAAUGCUGGAAGAAGAGGAAGAGCACGAAUGGUUUAUUCCAGCAAGAGAUCUUCCGCAAACGAUGGAUCAAAUUCAAGACCAGUUUAAUGAUCUUGUUAUCAGUGACAGUUCGUCACUGGAAGAUCUGGUGUUUGAAGAACUAACCUCUUGGGAAUAAUAAGGACAUGGAGAAUUCAUUUCCAUUGUUCAUCUGUCAGUUUCCUUGAGGUUUUCAGUGAAGCUCAGAUCCCGUUGUAAGUCUGCAGGGUUACAAAUAGUUCUAAAGAUCACAUAAACUCUCCCUUACAAUAUAGUAGAUACAAUAUCAUAGUCUGAUGAUGUUCUCAUUUGGUAGGUAUUCUUAAAAUUCUAUUGCUUUGGUUGUAAUUAAAAAGCUUAGAAUUUUUUAAUAAGAUGAACUCCUUUUUUAGCUAAAAUUUCAGCCUGUUAUCACUUACAGGAAUAUUGUUUAAAAAAAACUUGAUAAAUUCUAAACUCAGCCCAGUGCAGACGUGGGGACAAUUUAUUGCACUUUAGAUGUUUGCAUUGAUAUAUUGAACUAUUACCCUUCCUCUGUGUGAAUUGUUGCCUUGGCUAGACCUGUCAGUUGAACACUUAAUAUGGAUGAGCAGUUCUGUUGUGUAAAUACCAAAUUUAUUGAACCAAUCCAGUUGCUCAUAUCAUAGGUAAAUUACCUAUCUUUUUAGUACUCUGACUAAGAGUAACUUAAAGCAGUUUUUUUUAAUAUAGCACCUUUAAAGUUCCAUAUUUUGGUCUCAAUACAGACUAAGUUCUUUGGUUAAUAAAGUAUUGCAAUUUUAGAAAAUGGCCUGCAUAUAUUAAUGAUGUGCUUAAUAUGUACCUGCAUAUUAAGCUCAUCCAUUCUGCUCUGAAUUUAUAAGUUGGGUUGUAUCUUAUAAGGCACAACAUCGUUUCAUAAGAGCAGGAUUUGUGUAUCGUAAGAAAAAUAUAUGAAGGUCCCUGUUGUAGCAGGGUCUGCAUCAUAUAGCGGCCAUACACACGAAACCAGAAAUGUGGAUAGGAAGAUAAUAGAUUUAAAAUCUUAGGACUUUGCCAGAUCUCACCAGAUUGAUUUUGCAUAUUCUGGCUGAGAAUGCCAAAAUCUUGUAAAAUGUCAAAUGAUCUUAUCAAAUACUGAGAGAUACAGCCAUUUAUCUAAAAUUGCAGUACUUUAUUUAUAUUGCAUACCUGCACCAUAGAUGAGCGAGAGUACCUUUGUGGAGCAUAAUCAUCUCUGGCCCACAAACUGAGAACUGAUUAUAGCUUGGUCUCCUUUUAAGUCUAAAUUAGGACUCCUGAUAACAGGAAAUUCCAUAGUUUAUAUAUGUAUUGGGCGAAAUGUUUCACAUGACCUCAGCUUCUAGUAUUGUAAAUAAAAAGAAUUGGAUCUAUAUUUUCUGCAUCAUGGAUGAUGUUAUACAACUUUAUCAUGUUUUUCCUUAUUUACCUUCAGUCCAGGUUAAAAAGCCCUAAAGUAAUCAUUCCUCAUAAGGAACCUAUUUCAGCCCCCUUGUAAUUAUGGUUGCCCAUUUAUAUACUUGUUAUUUUGCACCUUUUCAAGGUGCAUCCCCAAGUAUGCAUAGUAUUCCAAUCUCAAUUUUAGACAGAUGGGGAAAUGACUACCAUUUUUUUGACAUUUUCAGUUCCUUUCUUAAAUCUGGACACGAGAUUUGUAAUUUUUAACAAGAAAUGCUCUCUGAGUUUUGCUGAGUUGUGCACCCCAACGCCAUCAUUCUUUUCUGAUCACUCAAAGCAACCUCAACUCCCAUUCAUGGAGGUUACGUUUGGAUUUUUUAUACACAUUACUUUGUGCUUGCUCAUAUUGCUUUGCAAUUGUCAUUUUGAGGCCUAUUUAUUCAGUUUGGAGAGCAGCCCUUUCGGAGCUCUUCCCCAUAUCUUUGUUAUCAAAAUGCUCAUCUUUAUGUCAUUAGCAGAUUGGAUCACCUUACUCCUUAACUUCAGUUUAUUUAUAAACUAAUUAAAAACACUGAUCCUACCACCAGUCCCUGGGAAUUUCACUUUGCACUAUUGUCUGCUUGUCCUCUUCUUUUUCUUAAUUUUAAGCCAAUUUCCAACCCCUAAGAACAUAAGCCUUUUUUAUCCCCCAGCUUCCAAGUUUGCUCAAGAACCUGUGGUAAGGGACAUUAUCAAAGGUGCACACUGUGUCUGAUGGAUUUCCUCCUCUACAUUUUUAUUAAUACUGUCAAAAUAAGUCUAGAAAAUUAGUCUAGGAAGAGCAAUAUGUGAUCCUCUAGAUCAGGGGUGUCAAACUCAUGGUGUCACGUUGUGACGUGACUUAUCACGACUUUUUUCCCCUUUGCUAAACUGGGAGUGGUGGUGGCCAGCGCAUGAUGCAUUCAGCCUGCAGGCCGCGAGUGUGACACCCCUGCUCUAGAUGCUGCCGCUGUAUUACAAAUUUGUCUUACAAUAGCCAGUGGAGAAAGAUGCUUGAAAACUACAAUUUAACAUAAUUUGGAGAGCCACAUGUUGUUCACUGAUAAGUUAUUGUUGUGCAAGUCGGUUUAGCUCUAUCAAAGGAGGAGAUUGAGAUCCUGGAUUGGGUGCUAUCAGUCAACCCUGGGGAUCCUAAACGGUCUGGCAUGUAAACUGACUCUAAACUGUUUCCUUGGCAAGAGUAUCUGGCUUUCUCCACUGAGGCCUAUUUUCAGGAGAGUUUUCACUGCAAAGAACUCCUGUUAAACUUGGUGCAAAUAUGUUCAAAACAAAACCUUAGGCUCCACAGUCUAAGCUUUUAAAAUCUCUCUC